GGAAAUAAUACAUCCUAUUUUAUAGAGAAAUAUUUCUUCUAGUCUAAUUAAGAAAAAGUCUCUUCAAAUCCUAUUAGAAUUAUGAGUCACUUAUAUAAUGAAAAAAUUCCAAAAAUGAUUAAGAAACGAAUGCUAAAGCAUAUCAAAUAUCAACCCUGUUUCUUGAAGAUAGGAUUAAAAAGAAAAUGCAGGUAUUUGUUAUCAAUUAAAUAUUUCACAAAUUAAACAAACAAGUGGCCAGAAAUCUUUCGUCCACCAGUGUCUU
rnacentral:misc_RNA from 1 species